rnacentral:rRNA from 1 species
CUGGCGGCGUGCCUAAUACAUGCAAGUCGAGCGGAGUUUUGAAAAGCUUGCUUUUCAAAACUUAGCGGCGGACGGGUGAGUAACACGUGGGCAACCUGCCCUUGAGACGGGGAUAACUCCGGGAAACCGGAGCUAAUACCGGAUAACACAUAUCUUCGCAUGAGGAUAUGUUAGAAGGUGGCUUUUAGCUACCACUCAAGGAUGGGCCCGCGGCGCAUUAGCUAGUUGGUGAGGUAACGGCUCACCAAGGCGACGAUGCGUAGCCGACCUGAGAGGGUGAUCGGCCACACUGGGACUGAGACACGGCCCAGACUCCUACGGGAGGCAGCAGUAGGGAAUCUUCCGCAAUGGACGAAAGUCUGACGGAGCAACGCCGCGUGAGUGAUGAAGGUUUUCGGAUCGUAAAGCUCUGUUGUUAGGGAAGAACAAGUACCUGUUAAAUAAGCAGGUACCUUGACGGUACCUAACCAGAAAGCCACGGCUAACUACGUGCCAGCAGCCGCGGUAAUACGUAGGUGGCAAGCGUUGUCCGGAAUUAUUGGGCGUAAAGCGCGCGCAGGCGGUUCCUUAAGUCUGAUGUGAAAGCCCACGGCUCAACCGUGGAGGGUCAUUGGAAACUGGGGAACUUGAGUGCAGAAGAGGAGAGCGGAAUUCCACGUGUAGCGGUGAAAUGCGUAGAGAUGUGGAGGAACACCAGUGGCGAAGGCGGCUCUCUGGUCUGUAACUGACGCUGAGGCGCGAAAGCGUGGGGAGCGAACAGGAUUAGAUACCCUGGUAGUCCACGCCGUAAACGAUGAGUGCUAAGUGUUAGAGGGUUUCCGCCCUUUAGUGCUGCAGCAAACGCAUUAAGCACUCCGCCUGGGGAGUACGGUCGCAAGACUGAAACUCAAAGGAAUUGACGGGGACCCGCACAA